GACGAACGCUGGCGGCGUGCUUAACACAUGCAAGUCACGGGGGCCCAGCAAUGGGUAACCGGCGAACGGGUGCGUAACACGUGAGCACCUGCCAUACCCGCGGGGGAUAGCCGGCCCAACGGCCGGGUAAUACCGCAUACGCUCCUCGGCCCGCAUGGGCCGGGGAGGAAACUUCCGGGGCGGGAUGAGGGGCUCGCGGCCUAUCAGCUAGUUGGCGGGGUAACGGCCCACCAAGGCGUCGACGGGUAGCUGGCUGAGAGGAUGGCCAGCCACAUUGGGACUGAGAGACGGCCCAGACUCCUACGGGAGGCAGCAGUGGGGAAUAUUGCGCAAUGGCCGCAAGGCUGACGCAGCGACGCCGCGUGUGGGAGGACGCCCCUCGGGUGUAAACCACUGUUGCCCGGGACGAAUCCCCUGCAUCGGCAGGGUUGACGGUACCGGGUGAGGAAGCACCGGCUAACUCCGUGCCAGCCGCCGCGGU
rnacentral:rRNA from 1 species